rnacentral:rRNA from 1 species
GUGGGGAAUAUUGCACAAUGGGCGCAAGCCUGAUGCAGCAACGCCGCGUGAGGGACGACGGCCUUCGGGUUGUAAACCUCUUUUGGCAGGGAAGAAGCGAAAGUGACGGUACCUGCAGAAAAAGCACCGGCUAACUACGUGCCAGCAGCCGCGGUGAUACGUAGGGUGCAAGCGUUGUCCGGAAUUAUUGGGCGUAAAGAGCUCGUAGGCGGUUUGUCGCGUCUGCUGUGAAAACCCGAGGCUCAACCUCGGGCCUGCAGUGGGUACGGGCAAGCUAGAGUGCGGUAGGGGAGAUUGGAAUUCCUGGUGUAGCGGUGGAAUGCGCAGAUAUCAGGAGGAACACCGAUGGCGAAGGCAGAUCUCUGGGCCGUAACUGACGCUGAGGAGCGAAAGCAUGGGGAGCGAACA